rnacentral:rRNA from 1 species
AUUGAACGCUGGCGGCAGGCUUAACACAUGCAAGUCGAGCGGGGUGAUGGUGCUUGCACUAUCACUUAGCGGCGGACGGGUGAGUAAUGCUUAGGAAUCUGCCUAUUAGUGGGGGACAGCAUCUCGAAAGGGAUGCUAAUACCGCAUACGUCCUACGGGAGAAAGCAGGGGAUCACUUGUGACCUUGCGCUAAUAGAUGAGCCUAAGUCGGAUUAGCUAGUUGGUGGGGUAAAGGCCUACCAAGGCGACGAUCUGUAGCGGGUCUGAGAGGAUGAUCCGCCACACUGGGACUGAGACACGGCCCAGACUCCUACGGGAGGCAGCAGUGGGGAAUAUUGGACAAUGGGGGGAACCCUGAUCCAGCAAUGCCGCGUGUGUGAAGAAGGCCUGAGGGUUGUAAAGCACUUUCAGUGGGGAGGAGGGUUGAUAGGUUAAGAGCUAAUUAACUGGACGUUACCCACAGAAGAAGCACCGGCUAACUCCGUGCCAGCCGCCGCGGUAA